GUCUUUUUGAUAAUAAUUUAAAGUCUAAUCUGCCCACUGAGAUAUUAAAUGGCUGCGGUAUUUUGACCGUACAAAGGUAGCAUAAUCAUUAGUUUUUUUAUUGAAAACUGGAAUGAAUGAUUGAAUAAGAAAAAUACUGUCUCAAAUUUAUAUUUUUAAAAUUUAAUUUUUAAGUUAAAAAGCUUAAAUGUUAUUUAAAGACGAGAAGACCCUAUAGAGUUUAAUAAAAUUUAAUUUAAAAUUUUAAGAUUAUAAUAUUUUAAUUGAAAAUUUUAUUUAGUUGGGGUGAUUUAAAAAUUUAGUUAACUUUUUUUAGUAUAUUACAUUUAUUUAUGAAUAAAUGAUCCAUAAUUUAUGAUUAUAAGAAUAAAUUACCUUAGGGAUAACAGCGUAAUUUUUUUUUAGAGUUCUAAUCGAAAAAAGAGAUUGCGACCUCGAUGUUGGAUUAAAAUUAAUAUUUGGUGUAGAAGUUAAAUAAUUAAGUCUGUUCGACUUUUAAAAUUUUACA
rnacentral:rRNA from 1 species